UACGUAGGGUGCAAGCGUUAAUCGGAAUGACUGGGCGUAAAGGGUGUGUAGGCGGUUUGUUAAGUCGGAUGUGAAAUCCCCGGGCUCAACCUGGGAACUGCGUUGGAAACUGGCAAACUAGAGUACGUAAGAGGGGGGUGGAAUUCCACGUGUAGCAGUGAAAUGCGUAGAGAUGUGGAGGAACACCGAUGGCGAAGGCAACCCCCUGGGACGAUACUGACGCUGAGGCACGAAAGCGUGGGGAGCAAACAGG
rnacentral:rRNA from 1 species